rnacentral:lncRNA from 1 species
CUCAAACCACCACACCUCCAAUGACUACUGAAGAAAAGGAGGGUGAUGUGGAAAUUGGAUGCAUCACACCUGUGAUCCAUGAUGAGUUCUGGGAAGCGACUCAUCCAAACUCACCAAGAACAACUCAAUUUCCUAGAACUCCAGAUGCCACUGAGAUUCUCACUAGCUGUGAUGAAAAGAGCAUUCGUGAGGAAUGAGCACAAGAAUCAGCUACAUCAGCUGAAGAAAAUGCAGCAUCAAAAAA